UGUAGCUCCCUCUACGUUUCACUAGGUGUCGUCUUCGCUUUAUUUUCCACCCCCUCCCCCUCAUCCCAAACUUUUGUCCUGCUUUUGUCAGCUUUCGUAUACUGUAAAAACAAGUAUCGGCGGCAAUAUGAAAUGGGUUUACCUUUCAGGUGGCUUUCAAACUGUUACAAGAUAAAUCUUGCUCAAGGCGGAACAGCAACGUAUCCUUCACAAAGAGAUGGCAUAAUCCAAGAUGGUCGAUGAGAAACUGCUAACUACAUUGAAAGCAAAUAAAAGAAGCACUAGACAUGAAUUAUACCAAAUUUAUCACCAACCACGAACGAUCCAGAGAGGUGAAUUUUACUGAUGUGAAUUUAGCCAGGUUUUUGUACAAUUUGUAAAAUAAAGGAAAUUCAAAAAAGAAAAGAAAUUGGUGACUCAGAGAAAAUGGAUGAAGCGGUUGGCGCAUCGGUUGUGGCUUGCACUCCUAACCUCGAGGUCGGGGGAUCGAAA